UUUUGCGGGGGGGGGGGGGGGUUGGUGGGCAUUAAGAUUUCUAAAGUAUUCAUAUUGGGAUGUCUUUUUUUUUUUUUUAUACACAAAGACAAUUAUUUAAGACCUUUAUUUACAGGUGCUUGCUGUUUGCUGACUUUUUUGAAAAAAAUCAAGUUGUAAACUUUUAUUACAAAUUAAAAAUGAAGUGCUUAAAAAUCUCAACUUGACCAGAUAUGAAACAAUUUAAAAACCUUUAAAGGCGUAUUGAGAAAAACCAGGCUUUUUUAAAAAACACAUUUGUUAUUACCAAAAAGAGACGUCUUUAGGUAAAAAUAAUAAAAAACCCCAUGCUGCAUAGAUAAUGCAGAUAGUUCUAUUUAUCUGGUCAAUGGGCAAAAAGCAAGCACUUAAGGUCUUAUUGCUGGAAUUUCAUAUUUCUUCUUGUUGGAUGACUAAACCGGAUGAUGGUAGAGAUGGUAAGCCGGCAUUUACUCAGCCCUGCCCUGCUCAGCCUCGGGAGCGGACGAAUUCUCAGCUGGCGGAUCGGCUGCUUUUGUCUGUUUGCCAUCUUGUGGUUUAGGGUUUUCUGGGCGUCUGCGUCGAUAAUUGAAGUUGCGGCGGUACCGACGUUGAGGUGGCUGCUGACCUUGGGUCUCAUCUCCUUGAUUUUCUUUAUCUUCUUCAUUGCCGUCCUCUCUAGGCUGUCUUUGGCGAGGAGGGCCCUUGCAGAAUCGUGGUCUAUAUCCCCGAUACAUAUUCUGCCUCACUGGUCUACCUUGUUCUCCUGCACCCUGGUUGUCAGCACCCUCCAUCACUCCUUCCUGCCCAGGAGGGUUGUAAUACUGUGGUCGAGGCCCAUAGGGUCUCUGCAUGUAGUAAGAUGGGAAUCUUCGCCUGCGGUAGGGCCGGGGUUGUUGGGCCUGGCCUUGGGGAGCACUCUCCGAUCCCUCCUUCUUUUCCCCACUCUCACUAUUCUGGUAAUUUUGCUGGUAAUUGCAUGGAAGACCCCUAAGACGUGGAUAGCGUCUGUAAUGGUUAUGGUCGGCUGCAUAUUUACUGCCUUGAACUGGAACACCACCAGUACCUGUAACAUGUGCUGCCUCUGCACCCUUUUCUCUUUCAACAAGAAACUCCACAGUCUCUCCAUCUCCUACACUGCGAAGGUACUUCCUGGGGUUAUUCUUCUUUAUGGCAGUCUGGUGUACAAAUACAUCUUCCUUGUUGUCAUUACUGUUGAUGAAACCAUAUCCGUUCCUUACAUUGAACCAUUUUACUGUUCCCAAAACCUUCGUUGCGAUGACCUUCUUGUCCCCGCUGGCAGGCGCCGCCGAUGUGAGGCCGCCGGGGCCACUGCUCCCUGCGCCGCUGCCCGUAGUGCCGGGCUAGGUGUCCGCGGCGCGGUGGGCGGCUGCUGGGUGUCGGCCUCGCUGCUCAUGGUUGCGGUGAUGGUGACUGGGGCCGGCUGCGGCAACUGCGGCUCCUCCCGGGGUGUGAUGGUAACUAGGCCGGCGGCGGCGGUGGGGCUGCUCAGGGCUCUCUGGGGUCUGCUCUCCGCUCCCGCUACCUAUGGAACUCUGGGAUGUCUUAAGACUCUUUUCUUCCUUAAACUUGAAAAGGAUGCAACUGAAAAUU
rnacentral:lncRNA from 1 species